rnacentral:rRNA from 1 species
UAGCCUUGACAUACUACAGAAUUUGACAGAGAUGUUGAAGUGCCUUCGGGAGCUGUAAUACAGGUGCUGCACGGCUGUCGUCAGCUCGUGUCGUGAGAUGUUGGGUUAAGUCCCGCAACGAGCGCACCCCUCGUCCUUAGUUACUAACGGUUCGGCCGAGGACUCUAAGGAGACUGCCUUCGUAAGGAGGAGGAAGGUGAGGACGACGUCAAGUCAUCAUGGCCCUUACGGCUAGGGCAACACACGUGCUCCAAUGGUUAGGACAAUGAGAAGCGAUACCGCGAGGUGGAGCAAAUCUAUAAACCUAAUCUCAGUUCGGAUAGCAGUCUGCAACUCGACUGCUCGAAGCUGGAAUCACUAGUAAUCGUAAAUCAUGUUAUGCUACAGGUGAAUACGUUCCGCGGGUCU